UACGGAGGGUGCGAGCGUUGUCCGGAAUCAUUGGGCGUAAAGCGCGUGUAGGCGGCUUGGUAAGUCCGCUCUGAAAGCCCGGGGCUCAACUCCGGAAUUGCCUUUAAGACUGCAUCGCUAGAAUUGUGGAGAGGUAAGUGGAAUUCCGAGUGUAGAGGUGAAAUUCGUAGAUAUUCGGAAGAACACCAGUGGCGAAGGCGACUUACUGGACACAUAUUGACGCUGAGGUGCGAAAGCGUGGGGAGCAAACAGG
rnacentral:rRNA from 1 species